rnacentral:rRNA from 1 species
CGGGUGAGUAAUGUAUGGGGAUCUGCCUGAUGGCGGGGAUAACUACUGGAAACGGUAGCUAAUACCGCAUAAUGUCUACGGACCAAAGCGGGGGACCUCCGGGCCUCGCGCCAUCAGAUGAACCCAUAUGGGAUUAGCUAGUAGGUGAGGUAACGGCUUACCUAGGCGACGAUCCCUAGCUGGUCUGAGAGGAUGAUCAGCCACACUGGGACUGAGACACGGCCCAG